rfam:Gonapodya prolifera JEL478 unplaced genomic scaffold M427scaffold_187, whole genome shotgun sequence.
UCUCCUCUAGCUCAGUCGGUAGAGCACGGUGCUAAUAACGCCGCGGUCACAGGUUCGAUCCCUGUGGGGAGCA